rnacentral:rRNA from 1 species
UGCAGUCGAACGAAAAUCUGUGGAAAGAGGAUUCGUCCAAUUGAAGCAGAGGACAGUGGCGGACGGGUGAGUAACGCGUGAGGAACCUGCCUUUCAGAGGGGGACAACAGUUGGAAACGACUGCUAAUACCGCAUAACACAUAGGUGUCGCAUGGCACUUAUGUCAAAGAUUUAUCGCUGAAAGAUGGCCUCGCGUCUGAUUAGCUAGUUGGUGAGGUAACGGCCCACCAAGGCGACGAUCAGUAGCCGGACUGAGAGGUUGAACGGCCACAUUGGGACUGAGAUACGGCCCAGACUCCUACGGGAGGCAGCAGUGGGGAAUAUUGGGCAAUGGGCGCAAGCCUGACCCAGCAACGCCGCGUGAAGGAAGAAGGCUUUCGGGUUGUAAACUUCUUUUGUCAGGGACGAGUAGAAGACGGUACCUGACGAAUAAGCCACGGCUAACUACGUGCCAGCAGCCGCGGUAAUACGUAGGUGACAAGCGUUGUCCGGAUUUACUGGGUGUAAAGGGCGUGUAGCCGGGAGGGCAAGUCAGAUGUGAAAUCCACGGGCUCAACUCGUGAACUGCAUUUGAAACUACUCUUCUUGAGUAUCGGAGAGGCAAUCGGAAUUCCUAGUGUAGCGGUGAAAUGCGUAGAUAUUAGGAGGAACACCAGUGGCGAAGGCGGAUUGCUGGACGACAACUGACGGUGAGGCGCGAAAGCGUGGGGAGCAAACAGGAUUAGAUACCCUGGUAGUCCACGCUGUAAACGAUGAAUACUAGGUGUGCGGGGACUGACCCCCUGCGUGCCGCAGCUAACGCAAUAAGUAUUCCACCUGGGGAGUACAAUCGCAA